CUGGUGCCGCAACGGAAGAUCCUCAGGUGGAGGGUGCCAAGGAGAGACGGGGGCACAUGCAGCCAGAGGCGGGCAUGGUGCAGGUGGUGCGACCAAAGAGGGGACAGCUGGAAGGCCCUGAAACGUAGUGGAGACUUUCCCGGCUACUGCUCUCUGUGGCUCUCAGUCCCCCCCUCUCUGUUGGUCCCUGCAGAUGCUGUUUUGUUCGUCAUGGAUUUGCAGCAUUCACCGUGUUUGAGCAGCUUUCAUUAAAAUACUGGUUUCUCCAUUGA